rnacentral:rRNA from 1 species
GAUGAACGCUAGCGGCAGGCUUAAUACAUGCAAGUCGAGGGACAGCACAGGUAGCAAUACUGGGUGGUAACCGGCAAACGGGUGCGGAACACGUACACAACCUUCCUUUAAGUGGGGGAUAGCCCAGAGAAAUUUGGAUUAAUACCCCGUAAUAUAGUUGAAUGGCAUCAUUUGAUUAUUAUCGCUAUGGCGCUUAAUGAUGGGUGUGCGGCUGCUUAGAUAGUGGGCGGGGUAACGGCCCACCAAGUCUACGAUCAGUAGCUGAUGUGAGAGCAUGAUCAGCCACACGGGCACUGAGACACGGGCCCGACUCCUACGGGAGGCAGCAGUAAGGAAUAUUGGUCAAUGGACGCAAGUCUGAACCAGCCAUGCCGCGUGAAGGAUUAAGGUCCUCUGGAUUGUAAACUUCUUUUAUUUGGGACGAAAAAGGGCCUUUCUAGGUCAACUGACGGUACCAGAUGAAUAAGCACCGGCUAACUCCGUGCCAGCAGCCGCCGAAUAC